CCUCCGAGCAAAAGAUGACAUAAAAGGUUCAUCGAUCGCGGAGUCAAAACAAGUCACAAUCUAAACUAUCGACUGCUAGGCUGACUGAGAACGUAUUUGAGACGUAUUAUAUACCUUGCGUAGUAAAAUAAAGCAUAGAAAGUAAUCUCUCUUUCACUCUAGUGUCAAAAAUUCGUCGAAAUCACCGUGCUCCUUUUAACAUACGGCACGCCGGCUUAGUUAUCUCUUGUCGACCGCCUGUCGCUUGUAAAAAUCAAGAAUCUCACGUAACCUCAUGCAAGCAAAAACUUUCAACAACUGUAGGUACACUAGAAAGUCAACAGAGUGAUAGAUAUAUAGGCCAGUUCAAAGAUGAAAAUGGCGGCGAAAAAGGAAGAAAUUAUUUACAGAGGGAAGUCAGGCGGAAACGGAUAUUUCCGAAGAGGGGAAACACGUAUUGAAGAGAUUGAAGAUCCCUGUCAUCUCCGUUUCGUUUUCAAGUUGAUCCUAUACAAUCCUCUUCCUCUCGAUCGUUUUGCCUGUUAGCUUCCACCUAGGUGCUUGGAAUGCCAGCUUUUAUAGAUCAACAAUAAAUGUCCCAUGAGGGAAUCGACGCCUUUAUGAUGUUCAUGAGCUUUUCUCUUUCCCACAUGUUCGAAGAUGAGCCUGGAUGAGCCGUCAAAGCCGCGUUAUGUACAGUGUCAGCAGAAUCGCGAACUUAUCCGGAUGUAUUUCGCGAUGUUACAUCGUUAAAAAAAAUCAAAUGCUACUCAGAGAACACGUUUGCGAGUUAUCUCGCGUUUCGCUUUUACGCUCUUAUAUGUCAUAUGUGUAUACUCGAUAUAAGCCUUAAUUGCUCGCUCACAAUUACCGACGCCCUAAAACUUUAAUAC